GACGAACGCUGGCGGCGUGCUUAACACAUGCAAGUCGAACGGAAAGGCCCUGCUUGCAGGGUACUCGAGUGGCGAACGGGUGGGUAACACGUGGGUGAUCUGCCCUGCACUUCGGGAUAAGCCUGGGAAACUGGGUCUACUACCGGAUAGGAGCCAUUUUUAGUGUGAUGGUUGGAAAGUUUUUUUCGGUGUAGGGUGAGCUGGCGGGCUAUCGGCUUGUUGGUGGGGUGAUGGCCUACCAAGGCGGCGCCGGGUAGCCGGCCUGAGAGGGUGGACGGCCACAUUGGGACUGAGAUACGGCCCAGACUCCUACGGGAGGCAGCAGGGGGGAAGAUUGCACAAUGGGCGCAAGCCUGAUGCAGCGACGCCGCGGGGGGGAUGACGGCCUUCGGGUUGUAAACCCCUUUCGCUAGGGACGAAGCUUUUUGUGACGGUACCUAGAUAAGAAGCACCGGCUAACUACGUG
rnacentral:rRNA from 1 species